GACGAACGCUGGCGGCGUGCCUAACACAUGCAAGUCGAGCGAUGAAGCUUCCUUCGGGAAGUGGAUUAGCGGCGGACGGGUGAGUAACACGUGGGUAACCUGCCUCAAAGAGGGGGAUAGCCUUCCGAAAGGAAGAUUAAUACCGCAUAAUAUUAGAGAAUCGCAUGAUUUUCUAAUCAAAGGAGUAAUCCGCUUUGAGAUGGACCCGCGGCGCAUUAGCUAGUUGGUAAGGUAAUGGCUUACCAAGGCGACGAUGCGUAGCCGACCUGAGAGGGUGAUCGGCCACAUUGGAACUGAGACACGGUCCAGACUCCUACGGGAGGCAGCAGUGGGGAAUAUUGCGCAAUGGGGGAAACCCUGACGCAGCAACGCCGCGUGGGUGAUGAAGGUUUUCGGAUUGUAAAGCCCUGUCUUUUGGGACGAUAAUGACGGUACCAAAGGAGGAAGCCACGGCUAACUACG
rnacentral:rRNA from 1 species